rnacentral:rRNA from 1 species
UGGGGAAUUUUGGACAAUGGGGGCAACCCUGAUCCAGCCAUCCCGCGUGUGCGAUGAAGGCCUUCGGGUUGUAAAGCACUUUUGGCAGGGAAGAAACAGCCUGGGCUAAUAUCCCGGGCGACUGACGGUACCUGCAGAAUAAGCACCGGCUAACUACGUGCCAGCAGCCGCGGUAAUACGUAGGGUGCAAGCGUUAAUCGGAAUUACUGGGUGUAAAGGGUGCUCAGGCGGAUUUGUAAGUCAGAGGUGAAAUCUUACAGCUUAACUGUGAAACUGCCUUUGAUACUGCAAGCCUAGAGUAUGGAAGAGAGUGAUGGAAUAUCUGGUGUAGCAGUGAAAUGCGUAGAUAUCAGAUAGAACACCAAUGGCGAAGGCAGUCACUUGAUCCAUUACUGACGCUAAAGCACGAAAGCGUGGGUAGCAAACA